rnacentral:rRNA from 1 species
GAUGAACGCUGGCGGCGUGCCUAAUACAUGCAAGUCGAGCGAACGGACGAGAAGCUUGCUUCUCUGAUGUUAGCGGCGGACGGGUGAGUAACACGUGGAUAACCUACCUAUAAGACUGGGAUAACUUCGGGAAACCGGAGCUAAUACCGGAUAAUAUUUUGAACCGCAUGGUUCAAAAGUGAAAGACGGUCUUGCUGUCACUUAUAGAUGGAUCCGCGCUGCAUUAGCUAGUUGGUAAGGUAACGGCUUACCAAGGCAACGAUGCAUAGCCGACCUGAGAGGGUGAUCGGCCACACUGGAACUGAGACACGGUCCAGACUCCUACGGGAGGCAGCAGUAGGGAAUCUUCCGCAAUGGGCGAAAGCCUGACGGAGCAACGCCGCGUGAGUGAUGAAGGGCUUCGGAUCGUAAAACUCUGUUAUUAGGGAAGAACAUAUGUGUAAGUAACUGUGCACAUCUUGACGGUACCGAAUCAGAAAGCCACGGCUAACUACGU